AGACCCAUCCCUGCAGGAGCCUGACUCAACCAGCCCGGGGCAGGAGAAUACACUACACAGUGCUCACUUGGUGGCUGCUGUAAUGGAGUGAAAGAGACCAGAUCGCCCAGAAGAGAAGCUGUCUUUAUGUGUAAGUGGGAUGGAGGCCUUCAUGCCAGAGAAAGACCACAUCAAAAGCCUAUGGCCCUGCCCAGCUGCACACAGCUGGUGACCAGAUGCCAAAGGUUGAGAAGUGCUCCAAGUAGAGGGGCCAAGCAGGGCCUCACAGGGUCUGGAUCUGAUUCUAAGUGAAAGGGGAGUGCCACAGGAUUUCUAGCAGGAAAACCAGAAACGAACUUAUGGGUGAUAUCGGAGACUGCAGCAGACACAAUGUAAAACCUGGGGGGGAGAUGGACCCUAGGAACUCUGGCUGGAGCAACUGAGGGCAGGAGGUAUUUUUGCCUCUUUGGGGGAAAGGGCCACGGAAGAUGCUGCGGAAAAUAAAUUGAUGGAUAGGCAA